AACGAACGCUGGCGGCAGGCCUAACACAUGCAAGUCGAACGCCCUGGCAACAGGGAGUGGCAGACGGGUGAGUAACGCGUGGGAACGUGCCCUUCGGUUCGGAAUAACUCAGGGAAACUUGAGCUAAUACCGGAUACGUGCGAGAGCAGAAAGAUUUAUCGCCGAAGGAUCGGCCCGCGUCCGAUUAGCUAGUUGGUGAGGUAACGGCUCACCAAGGCGACGAUCGGUAGCUGGUCUGAGAGGAUGAUCAGCCACACUGGGACUGAGACACGGCCCAGACUCCUACGGGAGGCAGCAGUGGGGAAUAUUGGACAAUGGGCGCAAGCCUGAUCCAGCCAUGCCGCGUGAGUGAUGAAGGCCCUAGGGUUGUAAAGCUCUUUCGCCAGGGACGAUAAUGACGGUAUCCGGAGAAGAAGCCCCGGCUAACUUCGUGCCAGCCGCCGCUGUAA
rnacentral:rRNA from 1 species